AUAUCCCUGCUGUGCACGAUGGAUAAAUGAUGAUUGGUGAACCAACACCAAUACAAUGGGCGCUUACUCUCCUUUCACGCUUUGGCGUCAAAGGGAGGUGCCCACCUGAAACCAAAAGGUUCAGUCCCCAUCAUAUCCAACGGCACGACGCGGGGAUUUU
rnacentral:other from 1 species